rnacentral:sRNA from 1 species
GUCUAGCCCUGAUUGAAGUGGAAAUCCUUUUUAUUUUUUUCUUUAAAAAAUAAAAAGAUUGGAGCGGAAAGCAGGAAAUAGC